ensembl:snRNA LOC120101367 U6atac minor spliceosomal RNA
GUGGUGUAUGAAGGAGGGAAGGUUAGCACUCCCCUUGUCAAGGAUGGUGGAGACCCUUGAGCCUAACAACAUGCACACGGUUAAGGCACUGCCACCAUGGUUUGUGGCACCUAACCACUGUUUUUG